GCACCAGAAGCUCAGAGAAGAGCAUCGGUUUUGUAAUCCGAAAGUCGAAGGUUAAAAUCCAUCCUGAUGCU
rnacentral:tRNA from 1 species